UCCUUUUUUUUUCUCCUUCACGUCUUCUUAGUUCUUCCUUCUGGUUCUCUGAUGGGUGGCUGAUUAGAUCGAGUGAAACAGUGAGAGAAAGUACCCAGAAGCUGAAGAAGGAGAAUGAGAAGGUUGGUGUUGUUUAGAGGAGCUGUGUUGUGGGUUGACUUUGCUUCCUGGAGGCAGCAAAUGUUGUUGCUCAACUCUGCAGCUCUCACUGGGGCGCAGCGAGGACAGCUGCGGUCGGUGAUGCAGGCGCAGGGGCUGUCUGGCUAGUGAGGCCGAUCAAGCAGCAAAGCAGAAGACUUGGUUUGAUUGCUGGGUUCUUCAAGCUCGAUCUUUAAGCUCCUCAAGAUCAACACUUGAGCAAUCAAAGUGAACAUAAACUGUGAUGGGAAAUAAAUUCCUUCAGAGAAUUGAAGGUGUUUACCAAGUCAAUAUUGAUGCUGAACAGCAGAGUCACAGUUUCAGGAGUCAUAGACUCUGCCACUUUGAUCAAGAAACUGCUAUGAGCUGGGACACAUUCUGCGAUCCAAAACCAGGAGCAAAAGACCAUCAAUAAUGAAGCAGACAAGGCAAGUAAAUGAAGCAAUGCAGCACCAACAACCACAAAUGAUGUAUCACAGAUAUGUCCGACAUGGAUUUCCAGUUGGAUGAUGAUGCCCUACCAUCGAUGCAUGACAACGUCAAAUUUGUUUUUUGUAAUCCAAGAUUUUGCUAUAAAUGUAAAGAACAUCUUGCUAUGAAUGUAAAGUUUUAAUAUUUUCGAUU